GUCGAACGGUAACAGGAAGCAGCUUGCUGCUUUGCUGACGAGUGGCGGACGGGUGAGUAAUGUCUGGGAAACUGCCUGAUGGAGGGGGAUAACUACUGGAAACGGUAGCUAAUACCGCAUAACGUCGCAAGACCAAAGAGGGGGACCUUCGGGCCUCUUGCCAUCGGAUGUGCCCAGAUGGGAUUAGCUAGUAGGUGGGGUAACGGCUCACCUAGGCGACGAUCCCUAGCUGGUCUGAGAGGAUGACCAGCCACACUGGAACUGAGACACGGUCCAGACUCCUACGGGAGGCAGCAGUGGGGAAUAUUGCACAAUGGGCGCAAGCCUGAUGCAGCCAUGCCGCGUGUAUGAAGAAGGCCUUCGGGUUGUAAAGUACUUUCAGCGGGGAGGAAGGUGUUGAGGUUAAUAACCUCAGCAAUUGACGUUACCCGCAGAAGAAGCACCGGCUAACUCCGUGCCAGCAGCCGCGGUAAUACGGAGGGUGCAAGCGUUAAUCGGAAUUACUGGGCGUAAAGCGCACGCAGGCGGUCUGUCAAGUCGGAUGUGAAAUCCCCGGGCUCAACCUGGGAACUGCAUUCGAAACUGGCAGGCUAGAGUCUUGUAGAGGGGGGUAGAAUUCCAGGUGUAGCGGUGAAAUGCGUAGAGAUCUGGAGGA
rnacentral:rRNA from 1 species